AUUUUGUUGUCUGCAGAGAAAAUUGUCCC
rnacentral:piRNA from 1 species